AUGAAUUGCCUUAGUUGGAACUGCCGGGGAGGGGGGAACACCUGGACAGUUCAUGAGCUAGCGACGUUGUGCAAGUCGCGUCCCAUGUUGGUCUUUCUGUGUGAAACGAGACAAAAGGAAGAGAAGAUGAAACGGAUGCGAGCAAAACUGGGUUUGAAGGGCUUUUGUGGAGUAGAUAGCAAUGGAUUAUGCAGUGGCUUGGCACUAUUUUGGAGGGAAGAAUGUGUUGUUGAUGUUUUGGACAAAGAUGAAAGAUUUAUUGACAUUAUUAUCAAAGUCCGUGAUGGAGCACCGGAGUGGAGAGCUAUCUUUGUAUAUGGGGAGCCACGGAUGGAAAAUAGACACCUAGUGUGGACUAAGUUACGGAAUCUAAAAGCCAUUAAUAAUUUGCCCUGGCUGGUUAUAGGUGACUUUAAUGAAGCCAUGUGGGAUUUUGAGCACUUAUCGAUCACGCCGAGGGCGGAAGCACAGAUUGUAGCUUUCAAGGAUACUUUGGAGGUGUGUGAAUUAGUUGAUCUUGGUUUCAGUGGUGUUCCCUUCACAUAUGAUAACAGAAGAGCGAGGUCGGCAAACGUCAAGGUGAGACUGGACUGA
rnacentral:rRNA from 1 species